rnacentral:rRNA from 1 species
CUCCGCUGACGAGCGGCGGACGGGUGAGUAAUGUAUGGGGAUCUGCCUGAUGGCGGGGGAUAACUACUGGAAACGGUAGCUAAUACCGCAUAACGUCGCAAGACCAAAGAGGGGGACCUUAGGGCCUCUUGCCAUCGGAUGUGCCCAGAUGGGAUUAGCUAGUAGGUGGGGUAACGGCCCACCUAGUCUUCGAUGGAUAGGGGUUCUGAGAGGAAGGUCCCCCACAUUGGAACUGAGACACGGUCCAA